rnacentral:rRNA from 1 species
GAUGAACGCUGGCGGCGUGCCUAAUACAUGCAAGUCGAGCGAACGGACGAGAAGCUUGCUUCUCUGACGUUAGCGGCGGACGGGUGAGUAACACGUGGAUAACCUACCUAUAAGACUGGGAUAACUUCGGGAAACCGGAGCUAAUACCGGAUGAUAUUUUGAACCGCAUGGUUCAAUAGUGAAAGACGGUCUUGCUGUCACUUAUAGAUGGAUCCGCGCUGCAUUAGCUAGUUGGUAAGGUAACGGCUUACCAAGGCAACGAUGCAUAGCCGACCUGAGAGGGUGAUCGGCCACACUGGAACUGAGACAUGGUCCAGACUCCUACGGGAGGCAGCAGUAGGGAAUCUUCCGCAAUGGGCGAAAGCCUGACGGAGCAACGCCGCGUGAGUGAUGAAGGUCUUCGGAUCGUAAAACUCUGUUAUUAGGGAAGAACAUAUGUGUAAGUAACUGUGCACAUCUUGACGGUACCUAAUCAGAAAGCCACGGCUAACUACGUG